GACGUUCUCCGCGGACGGGUGAGUAACACGUGGAUAACCUACCUAUAAGACUGGGAUAACUUCGGGAAACCGGAGCUAAUACCGGAUAAUAUAUUGAACCGCAUGGUUCAAUAGUGAAAGACGGUUUUGCUGUCACUUAUAGAUGGAUCCGCGCCGCAUUAGCUAGUUGGUAAGGUAACGGCUUACCAAGGCAACGAUGCGUAGCCGACCUGAGAGGGUGAUCGGCCACACUGGAACUGAGACACGGUCCAGACUCCUACGGGAGGCAGCAGUAGGGAAUCUUCCGCAAUGGGCGAAAGCCUGACGGAGCAACGCCGCGUGAGUGAUGAAGGUCUUCGGAUCGCAAAACUCUGUUAUUAGGGAAGAACAAAUGUGUAAGUAACUAUGCACGUCUUGACGGUACCUAAUCAGAAAGCCACGGCUAACUACGUGCCAGCAGCCGCGGUAAUACGUAGGUGGCAAGCGUUAUCCGGAAAUAUUGGGCGUAAAGCGCGCGUAGGCGGUUUUUUAAGUCUGAUGUGAAAGCCCACGGCUCAACCGGUGGAGGGUCAUUGGAAACUGGAAAACUUGAGUGCAGAAGAGGAAAGUGGAAUUCCAUGUGUAGCGGUGAAAUGCGCAGAGAUAUGGAGGAACACCAGUGGCGAAGGCGACUUUCUGGUCUGUAACUGACGCUGAUGUGCGAAAGCGUGGGGAUCAAACAGGAUUAGAUACCCUGGUAGUCCACGCCGUAAACGAUGAGUGCUAAGUGUUAGGGGGUUUCCGCCCCUUAGUGCUGCAGCUAACGCAUUAAGCACUCCGCCUGGGGAGUACGACCGCAAGGUUGAAACUCAAAGGAAUUGACGGGGACCCGCACAAGCGGUGGAGCAUGUGGUUUAAUUCGAAGCAACGCGAAGAACCUUACCAAAUCUUGACAUCCUCUGACCCCUCUAGAGAUAGAGUUUUCCCCUUCGGGGGACAGAGUGACAGGUGGUGCAUGGUUGUCGUCAGCUCGUGUCGUGAGAUGUUGGGUUAAGUCCCGCAACGAGCGCAACCCUUAAGCUUAGUUGCCAUCAUUAAGUUGGGCACUCUAAGUUGACUGCCGGUGACAAACCGGAGGAAGGUGGGGAUGACGUCAAAUCAUCAUGCCCCUUAUGAUUUGGGCUACACACGUGCUACAAUGGACAAUACAAAGGGCAGCGAAACCGCGAGGUCAAGCAAAUCCCAUAAAGUUGUUCUCAGUUCGGAUUGUAGUCUGCAACUCGACUAUAUGAAGCUGGAAUCGCUAGUAAUCGUAGAUCAGCAUGCUACGGUGAAUACGUUCCCGGGUCU
rnacentral:rRNA from 1 species